AGUCCCUUCGGCACAUCGGGUAGCAACUCUGGGUGACUUCUUUUUGUUGCGAGAUCGUACGUUUAUGCGACGUUCGUCUCGCGUGUAGUCAUCUAUCAGCCGAAAUUACCAUUGACAGCUAACCAAAUCGGCUCUCCAGGCCGAGUUGGACGACAUGGACGCCGGACCCAUUCUUCGAGAUAUCAUGCUGGGCCACUACUCUGAUGGUGGAGCGGAAGGGGACAGCAUCUUCUCCGACCUUGCAGUAAGCGAACUGACGGCGUCCGCCGAAGAAGCACGAGGCGCGUUGUCCGAGUCACCUGAACCGGUGCCGACACGCAGGACGUCGUCGAACCGUUCGAUGUCCCGUCGCCAAUCUAGGCCUAACUACGCCGUGCUCGCUGGUAAGUCUCGCACUCGCGCCAAAGGCGAGUCGGUUUCCAGCUCUGACGAAGUUCACAUAGAUGACGAUGAAGACCCGGUUUCGCCGGGCGAGGUCUUGGAAGAGGAGGAGGAAAGCUUAGACGCCUUCAAGACCCGCGGAAGUUGUAUGAGCAAGAAUGCCAUUGCCGCUCGGGAGAAUAGGAUUAAGAAAAAGCUUUACGUGAACAAGCUCGAGCGAAGCGUCCGCCACCUUUCGACGGAAAACGCGACGCUCAAGCGGCGCUCGCAGGACAUGAACCGAGAGAUCGAAGAGCUGAGCGAAGAGGUGCAGUACCUGAGGAGCGUGCUGUGCAACGUUGACGAGAUAUCGUCUCUUGUGCGCAGCAUUCGGUCGGCUAGGCCUAGUUUGGCGACGAACUUGAAGAAUGGCUACUCCCUGAAGCGCGAGAGGGUCGAGGGAGAUCACGACUACAUCGGUACUAGCGGCAAGAGGAGGCCGCCUGUUGAUAAGAAAGCGGGAGGUGUGUGCAUCCACGUCGCCAACGGAGCCGUGUCGUUGGAGUUCUGCCAUCGGUGCGCCGGCAAGUCCAAGGAUCUUCGGGAGGGACAGUGAAUUCGCCAAGAAGCGUUGGUUGAACCGAUUUGAGACAUCUGGGAAUCGGCGGCUCGAUGGGUGUGAACUUCUGCACGCAAGACGAUGGUCGGUACAGCGUGUCCCAAUUUACAAGCGUUAACUAUAGCAGGACAUCGAGUGAGAACUCGUGUGUGUGUGUGCCGCUUCCAGUUUGGGUUCCGAACAGACGCUUUUUUUUGCUUUUCACGGAUUCUCUCGUUUCAGGUGACCGUCUCGGGGCGGGAGACAAGCACCGGGGAGACUGGAAGCUGUACCAACUAUUGGCACAGUGACGGUGGCUGCUUGAGGAUCGUGGUCGCGCACUCUCCCACACCAUCUGCGAUGGUUGGUAUCCAUUAACCACCCCCAACUGUACAGACACAACAGUUAGCAAAGCUGUAGUCACUUCGUGUUGUUAGCCUUUGCAUUGUCACGUGUAGCAGCUGUAUUGGCUAGCCAGCACUCUUAACCUCAGCAGCGUGAUUGUGAACUUAAAACUUUUGUUAGCUGUUGAGGGUGUAGACAGGGCAAUGCAAACACUGUCGCGCUGGGUCUGGAGAACCAGUUAUUGGAGAAGCUUUUUGCUUUAUAGCUUCCACUGCUGUCUUGGUGCUGACCUGGGGAUCACUGCGCUCAAGUGAGGACGUGACUCAGCGUAGCACUUUUCUGGGAUUUCUCCUCUGCUGAAAUGAUGCAAGCAGAAGAAAAUGAAUCUGACAUCGUGCUUGACACAUCAACAUGGAAGGUUCCUUCAUAAAAUUUAAAGCAAGAGUUAGCCCUCAUUUUAUCUGCUUGUGGACAACUUUACAUGGCAAUGAAGAACAGGGGCAGAGCUUCUGCAAAUGUUGGCCGUUGCUGAGCUAGAGGUCUCGGAUUCGAUCUCUGCUGCGGCGACCGCAUUGCGAUGGAGGAGAAAUGCAAAAUGUAUUUAAAAUAGAUAUAGGUGUGUUAAAAAAACCCAGUUGCACAUAUUCAAUCCGCAGACCCCCAGUGGAGUCCAAACGCUUCAAACUUUACAAAAAAAUACUGCACUUUGUGUCUUGUCCCUGAACAAUAAUAGCCGUCUGUCGUGCUUGUGCUUCUUUUCUGGAAAAUUCUGUGCUCUCUAAAUUUCUCGUCAAAAAUGCUAUGCCAUGCUGAUAAUGCGCAUGUCGUUUGUGACCUGGAAGUACAGAGUGCAUUGCGUUAAAGCAAAGACACAUAAGUUGGAUGACGAGAGUGGCCAACAUUAUUCACCAUAAUACUUGUUUCUGUGCCCCAG